rnacentral:lncRNA from 1 species
AGAGAGAUUAGAUGUCACAACUACACCAUUAACAUGCGGGCAUAAAAUGUAGAUUUAAGAGGUCCAUGUUAAUGGCUUGUCCUUCUGUAUGCAUAGAAUUGGGGACGCAAGACAUCGUGUAGUUGACAUUUUUCUCUAAUUAUUUUGGCCUCAUGCAAGCGAAUCAAUACCAUGUGAGUCUCACAAUAUGAUUGCCCUUUAAGUUGUGGUUGAGAAUGUGUCACUGUUUAGACAUGGUUUAAAAUAAAAUAUCUAGAGUGUUGUGGUAUAUUUUUAUUUAUUGGAUUUCACACCCAACGAAUAAAAGUGAUUCUGAUUUUCUUGUAUAAAAAAUAAAUCGUCUCAUUGUAUACAAUUUUUUAUCCAAAAUUUCUUUUUAUUCACAUGAAAUGUGAUUCCAAUCUCUAAGAUCAAAUCGAAGUGUGAAAUAUUGAUCAAAGAGUCAAAUUCACCCCAAUUGGGGCCUUUUAUUUAUUUUUGUGCAAAGGAGCUUCAAGACAUCUGUGGAUAUUACAAUUUAUUACAAUUUUGGAAUAGAAUAGCUAUGCUUGUUUAAUUAUACCAAUAUUAAAGAAGAUUAUAUCAUAUAUAUAUAUAUAUAUAUAUAUAUACUUGAUGCUUGACUUUCUUUCUCUCUUGGAGUUCCUUCGAAUCUUGGUUUAGCCUCCAUUAUUAUUAUUAUUUUAUUUUAUUUUUUUAUGAUUAUUAUUUUAUUUUAUUUUAAUUUUUUUUUUGUGUGGGGGAAGGGAAGGGGGCAGAAAUAUUGAAAAAAAGGGUUGAAAUUACAAAACGGGUCAAAAGAUUACAAAUUACACAUGUAGGUAUGUUUUUGAAUUUCUAGAUCCAUUAGGAACAUCCAUAAAAACAAAUCAAAAUUUUUAAAUUGCUUUCAAGGUUGAGAACCUAAAAUAAUGGAGCAUUUUGAUCAUUUUACCCCCAAUCAUCAUUUUGUUAUAGGCUAUUUCGAAGUAAAAUUAUUAAAGUACUGUUAUACAAAAAUUUGAAGCAAUGAAUAAAACAACGGCUCGUAUCAUGGUCAUGCCGAUAAACUUUGGCCAAGUAUGAGUUACUCGGCUCGAGUCGGGUUGAGUGCAGCUAAGCUAACAAGUGUUAAAAAUAAAAAAUACAAAAAUUCUAAAAAAAUCUGAGCGUGGCAAUCAGAGUGUUAAAGAAAGUGUAUAUUAUUUAUGAGGUUAGUUAUAGAAAGUAUGUAUUAUAUAAAGGAAAAGUAGGUGCAAUAUCCUGUGUUUCAUGGUAAAUGUGGGUAUAGUUUAGAUGUCUGUGAUUUCUUUCUAUUCUAAUAAUCUGUUAUUUGUUUAUAUUUAGACAAGUUUAUAUAUUCAUACACUAAUGGACACAAAGAGUCUCCAGUGAAACUUGAAAUUUUAACAAACUUAAUCUUGAUAUUACAUAUUACAACAAGCGUACCUUCUUCUUUAUAAAUGAUUGUCGAAAUUUAUAGCACUUUGGGGUUGUUAAUAUGUUUUAUUGUUUACCUCUUCAUGUUCUUGUUCUUCUUGUGGCAUUCUACUAAGUGUAUCUUGUAGACCUUGUUGUACUACUGAUGCAUAUCAAAAUUUGGUGGCUAGAAAUUUUAAUUUUAGUUUUUGUUAAUUUAUUUUUGAGAGUUUGGGUAGAAUUCUUAUUUUUAAUUAUUAAGGUUAAUUAUUAAAAAUAUGAUUUUUAGGGUUAGUUUGAUAAAUUGUUUUUCAUAAGUAUGUUUUUUUAUGAAUUGAGAUAAAUCUGUUUUUUUUUGUAUGACAGGGUUUAGAAGGUUUAUACUAGGUUUAUGCUCAACUUUUGUUUGGAAGAAAUCUUUAGAAAGGGGUUUAAUUUAAAGAGAUAGAAUUGAGAUAUAAAUAAUUGAGGCAGCAUUUGAAUCACGUGGAUGCAAAAGAAAGAAAGGAUUUUUUUAUGGUUAUCUAUUAGCAAGUAAAGUACGUAGAGGGAAGGUUUCUUUUGUUUUAUUAGAAGGGAAACCAUUUAGUAGAUUUUAGACUUAUCUUUUGGAAUCACGUGCGUAGGAGUUGAAUUAGGUAUAAAUAGGUAAUUUGUUUUUGUGCGUAGGAGUUGAAUUAGGUAUAAAUAGGUAAUUUUUUUUUGUAAUUAUCUUCUUUUAAGUUUUGUGGAAGCAAAAAUCCUUUAAAAAGAGCACGUGCAUUGUAAUCGGAAAAGAAUGGAAUUUUAGUUAAUAAAGAAAGUAUUUUUUUAGAGAGAGACCUUUGUAGGUGUUGUUUCUUCGCUUGUGUUUAUGGAUCCAUGACGGAAUACUAGUACCUGC